rnacentral:rRNA from 1 species
CUCCUACGGGAGGCAGCAGUGGGGAAUUUUGGACAAUGGGGGCAACCCUGAUCCAGCAAUGCCGCGUGAGUGAAGAAGGCCUUCGGGUUGUAAAGCUCUUUUGUC